AUGAAGCAAACACCAGCGUCGGUGAACCAACAACAGAAUAGGAAGCGAUGCUUCCCACUCCGGCAAUCGCGCAAGGGGUGCAUGAAGGGCAAGGGAGGGCCAGAAAACCAGCGAUGCCCCUUCCGCGGUGUCCGCCAGCGCACCUGGGGGAGGUGGGUGGCCGAGAUCCGUGAGCCCAACCGCGGCGCCCGCCUCUGGCUCGGCACCUUCGCCACUGCGCUCGAUGCCGCACGCGCAUACGACUCUGCGGCAAGGGCGCUCUAUGGUGACUGUGCACGCCUCAAUCUGGCAGCACCUCCCCUUUUGCCCAUGACCGCGACAGUUCCUCUCCCUCAUGCGCAAGCGCAACAGCCUCCGGCUCGUAGCACCGAUACUAACAACACCACCGCACUAUACUACCCCUCCUCAAUCUCAACGGCGUCAACGACAACCCCCACCUACUUGGACACAUUUGACAUUGAGUGGUCUUAUUACAACGCAGCGGGGGCGUUAGAGUUGGGGGACUUCGAGGCAUAUGUGGAGGGGCUUCCCAAGGCGAAAGACUUCGGGUUGGAGGGGUUUCAGGAGGUGAUGGACGAAUAA
rnacentral:rRNA from 1 species